GAUGGGUUUUAAUGGAACUAGGAUUUAACUUGGGGAGCUGGGUAAUUAGUAGAUCCAUGUUAGUGAUGGUGGAGAUGAGACUUUUGUAUAUGGGUUUGUGUUGGAUUUGAUUUUAACUUGUUAAAUUGAGAAAUCUUGAUUUUUUUUCCCCCACUGCUAUUGGUUGCUGAAAUGGGUUUGUGCUGAUUUAGAUUUUUUAAGUAUUGUAAUGGUGGAAUUUUGGUUAUUUUUACCUCUGCUAUUGAUUGUUGUUUUGAGUAACUUUUGUUGCUCAAUUUAUUGUGUAUUCAAAGGAAAUGGGCUAACACAGUUUUUGCUGGUUGCUUGUAUUAAUUUAGAGUUCUGGAAAGUCAUCUGUGUUGGAAAGCAUAGUAGCCCGAGAUUUUCUUCCUCGUGGAUCAGGAAUUGUCACAAGGAGACCAUUGGUGUUGCAGCUUCAUAAGACUGAUGACGGACAGCAGGAAUAUGCAGAGUUUGGUCAUUUGCCAA